AAGAAAAUAAAUCAAGCUGCGAAACAGAGAAACAGAUAAGAGAAGAUUUCCCAAGGCAAAGGUUUCAACAGAUUCUCCUAACUAACAUGUUCAAUUCAAUUAAUAAGACGAUUCCUAAGGCAAUCUCAAAAUUAGUCUAUACCCACUCCCGUGGCAUACAAACCGUUGAUUACAUGCAAGGCUACCGUCCCCGGAUCGCACUUCUAACAUGCAACUCCUAAAAGCUCAUAGGAUUAACGCCCUCACAAAUAUCAAUUCCCUUUAGAAUUAAAUAUAUGUGUUCUAUGUUCUUAGUUCAGGUAAUAAUUAUCAUCUCCCGAUCUCAAAUUAAAACCUAUGAUUAUGCUAAAUUGGUGGCCAAUCAAUAAAGCAAACAAUUAAAACAAGAACAUAGAAAGGAAUAACAAUCCAAUUAAUUGAAUCAAACAGUCAGAAAUUCAAACUAUGUUUACUCCCUAAACCCUGGAAAAAAGGAAUUCUAGCCACACAUAGACAUAUGAACUAGAAUACAAUUCUCAAUAAAACAAAUAAACAUCCAACAAGAAAAACCGUAGUAAAAUCGAGAAUCUUCAGUCUUGCUCUUGCUCUGUUCUUCGUCUCUCUCAGCUCUCAGGAAAAGUAAAAUAUGAUAAAAGAUGAUAAAAGGUUAUAAAAAGGUGCAAAGAAUAAGUUCUUGGGGAGUAUUUAUAUGCCCUAGGUCUUGUAGCUCUCAAAAAUACCCAAAAUCGCUAAAAAAACGAAUUUUGGGCGGAAAUACGGCGACUCGCGCGGCCACGUCGCGCGGCGCAUGGCUGGCCCGCGUGACGAAACAGAACUCCUGACAGCUUUGCGUAGCGAUUUUGUUUUGGCUCGUUCUCUCUCGUUCGAACUCCGAUUUAUGAUCCGUUUGCGCUCACGAACUCCUCUUGAGACGAACUACAACUUGUAUUUCAGCCAAUUCUUCCAAAUUCUGCUUCAUUAUUUCUGAAAAUUCGUUCAAACACAAGCAAGUAACAAGUUCUUGACCAUAAACGAAUCUAAGCUCAAAUAGACCAUCAAACACACAAAAUCCUCACAACUAAGCAUCAAAAAUGACACACCAAGAGGUAAAAAUGCAUGUUUAUCAGUGAGCAAGACUGCACCGGGAAAAACGCAGCGAGAGCAGCCGAACCAGAGCAUAACCGGAGCAGCGAAAGGAGAUAAGACCUCCAGAGCAGAGCCGACUUACAGAGUAGAGCUUACAAACAGAGCAGAGCUAACUUCAGAGCAGGGCCGACUCCAGAGUAGAGCAAACCUCCAGAGCAGAGCUGAGAGCAGAGCUUACAUACAGAGCAGAGCUGACUUCAGAGCAGGGCCGACUCCAGAGCAGAGCAAACCUCCAGAGCAGAGCUAACCUCCAGAGCCGAGCAGAGCUGACCUCUAGAGCAGAGCUGAUCUCUAGAGUAGAGCUGACCUCCAGAGCAGAUCUUGUUCGCUAUUUUAUUUUAGCACGCCGCAAGUGUACGGGUGCAAUUGUGUACAGUAGCAAGCAAGCUCGUAUUUCACAGAGACUAAUUAUUAUCAAUGCCUAUCCUGGAUUAAUAUUCCUCUAUCUGGAAAAUCAAAAUUGAGAGUUUUUAUUGUAAAGAACAAAAUAAAUAAACAACAGGAAAGAAAAUAAAUCAAGCUGCGAAACAGAGAAACAGAUAAGAGAAGAUUUCCUAAGGUAAAGGUUUCAACAGAUUCUCCUAACUAACAUGUUCAAUUCAAUUAAUAAGACGAUUCCUAAGGCAAUCUCUAAACUAGUCCAUACCCACUCCCGUGGCAUACAAACCGUUGAUUACAUGCAAGGCUACCAUCCCUGGAUCGCACUUCUAACAUGUAACUCCUAAAAGUUCCUAGGAUUAACGCCCUCACAGUUAUCAAUUCCCUUUAGAAUUAAAAUAAAUGUGUUAUAUGUUCUUAGUUCAGGUAAUAAUUAUCAUCUCCCGAUCUCAAAUUAAAACCUAUGAUUAUGCUAAAUUAGUGGCCAAUCAAUAAAGCAAACAAUUAUAACAAGAACAUAAAAAUGAAUAACAAUCUUAAUUAAUCGAAUCAAACAGUCAGAAAUU
rnacentral:lncRNA from 1 species